CCCAGUAGAUGCCCCUUCUCUUGUCCACACAUUGCUAUUCCUCCACAAGCCCACAUCACUUAGUGCUACUUCGCCUCCAUCUUCCUUCUUCUGCUACCUCAACACCCAGCUCUGCUCCUACUCUUCCUCAGCUCCCUCCUACCAACGCCUGGUCGUGCUCCACUCCCAGCUAUGACGGUCACAUGAGCUCCACCCGCACCAACACGAGACGACGAAGCUGACGUCCCGUGCUCUGUAUACCUUCGUCUGCUCAUGAUUCGACCUCCUAUUACUCCACAACGACACCAACCCAUACUCCCUUCCCCUCCACAGCCAAGCAACCGCUGCAUCAGGCACGGGUACGUGCCGACUGCCUGAUCUGGUAUGGAUGCGCGCGGUAGCUCCUCCCACCCCUGAUCUUUCCUUGGCAAGCUCACAUCUCCACCUGGUCCGCAACAGGAGACGCCACGCUGGGUGUUGUAGCUACGGAGGUCAUCGAUUGGGCGAAGGACGCCCAGUGGCAGUGGGAAGUGACCCGAGGCGAGGUGGAGUCAGCAAGGCGGCAGAGUGGCGAGAUUCGGGAUCGAUGGAUCCGACUCCCGACGCUGCGAGCCCGUGUUGCCCAGAUCUUGACGACGGCGAGCCGAGGUUGCCUACGGGCGGCGGGCGGCGCUCCCGUGGCGAGGAUGGCGGGGCCUGGUCGGAUCCGGGCGGAUCUGGCCGGGAUGGAUCUAUUUCUGGCGGAUUUGGCUUGGAGGCGGCCGGAUCUGGCGAGAUUGAGGGCCGAUGGCGCCAUGGUCCUCCUGGAGAUCCCUGCUCACCGAGAAAGAGAGACAGAGGUGAGAGGAGAUCAAGAUGAAGGAGGAGAUGGGCGAGGCGGCGGAGCGGCCGGAGCUCCGGCGGCGGGGCACGGUGGAGGUGUGGGGUCGCCGGCGAGGUGGCUUGCGGGUGCGAGGGGAGCUCGGGUAGGAGGAAGCUGCGGGAGGCGGAGCGGUCCAGUUCGGGCUGGAUUUCUAGGGUUAUUUAUGUAAAAGUGAAAGUUUUUUUAGAAUCCACUAAAGAAAGGACUACGGGUUCAAUUUUGAAAAAGUACAAGGACUUUUCUGCAAAAUCACCGACGACGACGUACGACCAAAAACGAUCGGUGCUUUAUUAGUAGGUAGAGAUAGAGACUAGUACAAAUGCCCGUGCGUUGCAUCGGGCGGAAUAUUAAAUAUAACUUGCUCCA